AGAUGCUGCCAGGGUCCCUGAAGAGGGAAGACACGCGGAAACAGAAUACUUGGCUUUCUCUGACUCAAGUAAAUGGGCUUUUGAGCACCCUGAAACCCUCUACGCCUGGGAGGGGGCCUGCGUCUGGAUCCCCUGCACCUACAGAGCCCUAGAUGGUGCCCUGGAAAGCUUCAUCCUGUUCCACAAUCCUGAGUAUAACAAGAACACCUCGAAGUUUGACGGGACCAGACUCUAUGAAAGCACAAAGGAUGGGGAGGUUCCUUCUGAGCAGAAAAGGGUGCAAUUCCUGGGAGACAAGAGUAAGAACUGCACACUGAGUAUCCACCCGGUGCACGUCAAUGACAGUGGUCAGCUGGGGCUGAGAAUGGAGUCCAAGACUGAGAAAUGGAUGGAACGAAUACACCUCAAUGUCUCUGGUAAGGCCUUCGGGGAGCGGGUCCUCUGCUCUAGGCAGGGGUGAGUGAGAGGCAGGAAAUACCUGACUCCUGGCACAGAGCUCACAAACCGAGCUUCCUGCAGAGCUCAGGCAGGGGACGCCAGCGGAUGACGAUGGCGAUGCAGCAGCACUAGACAGAGCUGCAG
rnacentral:sRNA from 1 species